rnacentral:rRNA from 1 species
AUGGUCAUGUCACAGAGCUUUGCCUCCGGCAUGAACCUAAUAUCCGGCCCCCACGUCUUCACCGUUGACAAGGCCACCGGCAACCUAACGCUGAGGUGGGCCAUCGCUGGCUCCGUCACCGUCGCCUACUUCAACAAGGGCUACAAUUCCACCUUCACCGCCAACAAGACGUUCAGCUCCCCGACGCUCAAAAAUCAAGAUGCAGAUGAACGCAUCGUCUCUCUCACCGACAACAUGCUCUCCUCCUCCGUUUCGUUGCCUACAACAGCAACUACGGCGAGAGUGGCGACAUGCUGCGCUUCGUGCGCCCGGACAUGGGCGAAAACUUCGGCGCUUACUACGGUGGUGCGUCAGUGGCACGGCGACCGAGCAGUGGUCAGCGGUGGCGGACCAGUGUGA